rnacentral:rRNA from 1 species
CCGCCGGCGACCGGCGCACGGGUGAGUAACACGUAUGCAACCUGGCCGUGACAGAUGGAUAACCGGGAGAAAUCCCGCCUAAUACAACAUAAUGUCGGGAGGGGACAUCCCCUGCCGGUCAAAGGGGGCGACCCCGGUCACGGAUGGGCAUGCGGCGCAUUAGGUAGUUGGUGGGGCAACGGCCCACCAAGCCGACGAUGCGUAGGGGUUCUGAGAGGAAGGUCCCCCACAUUGGAACUGAGACACGGUCCAAACUCCUACGGAAGGCAGCAG